GCGGGCAUCGUAUAAUGGCUAUUACCUCAGCCUUCCAAGCUGAUGAUGCGGGUUCGAUUCCCGCUGCCCGCUCCAGGC
rnacentral:tRNA from 1 species